ACUUAUAAUAAACUAAAAACAACAAGCUUUUUCUAUAACGGGGGAAAAACAGGCUGUCAGAUGAACUGUGUCUCUCUUUAAACAAAAUAACUCGGAAGUUAUUAACGCGCAGGAAACAGAAAAUGUUCAUAUAAGGCGAGAAAUUCAGCAUGAUACUAUUUUUUUCCGCAGUACCAAAAAUGAACAAGUCGGCGCUUCUUCUCCUGCUUUUCAUCGGACUCCUCGUCAUCACCGAAACUACUGAUGCGUAUUAUCACUGGUCAUUGAUUCGUCGUCGUCGCCGCUGGAACGAACAGAAACAAGAUGCGGAAUUCAAGGAAAUAGAAGAAAGCGAUGAGAAAAUGACAUCACUUCUUGAAUAAACCAGUAAAAAUUGGAUGGUUUUAAUAAAUUGAACAACGGCAUAACA